GACUGAAUUACCUAAGGAUUCAUUUGAAGGCCUGCUAUACCUCCAGUAUUUAGAUUUAUCCUGCAAUAAAAUACGAUAUAUUGAAAGACAAACAUUUGAAUCACUACCAUUUUUGCAGUAUAUAAAUCUGGGCUGCAAUUUAAUUACAAAACUGAGCCUUGGAACAUUUCAGGCCUGGCACGGAAUGCAGUUUUUACACAACUUAAUUCUCAAUCGCAAUCCUCUGACUACUGUCGAAGAUCCAUAUCUCUUUGAACUGCCGGCAUUAAAAUAUCUAGACAUGGGAACAACACACAUCACACUUACAACACUUAAGAACAUUCUCACGAUAACUGUUGAACUGGAAAAACUGAUCUUACCUAGCCAUAUGGUCUGCUGCCUCUGCCAAUUUAAAAAUAGCAUUGAGGCUGUCUCCAAGACAGUCAAGCUGCAUUGCAACACUGCAUGUCUGACUAACAGCAUACAUUGUCCUGAAGAAGCAUCUGUAGGCAAUCCAGAAGGAGCGUUCAUGAAGAUGUUACAAGCCCGGAAGCAGCACAUGAGCACUGAGCUGACUAUUGAGUCGGAGGCGCCCUCAGACAGCAGUGGCAUCAACUUGUCAGGCUUUGGGAGUGAGUAGCUAGACACCAAUGACGAGAGUGAUGUUAGCAGUGCACUAAGUUACAUCUUGCCUUAUCUCUCACUGGGAAAUCUAGGUGCAGAAUCAAUGUUGUUACCGUUCACUGAACAGC
rnacentral:sRNA from 1 species